UACGGGGGGGGCAAGCGUUGUUCGGAAUUACUGGGCGUAAAGGGCUCGUAGGUGGCCAACUAAGUCAGACGUGAAAGCCCCGGGCUUAACCUGGGAAUGGCAGUGGAAACUAGAGAACUUGAAUCUGGCAGAGGGGGGUGGAAUGCCACGUGUAGCAGUGAAAUGCGUAGAUAUGUGGCGGAACACCGAUGGCGAAGGCAGCCCCCUGGGCUGAGAUUGACGCUCAGGCACGAAAGCGUGGGGAGCGAACAGG
rnacentral:rRNA from 1 species